rnacentral:rRNA from 1 species
UAAUUUGAUAAUCCGCAAAAAACCUUACCACAGCUUGAAUAUUUAUAUCUUUGGUAUAUUUACAAGCGUUGCACGGCUGUCUUCAGUUAAUGUCGUGAGACUUUGGUUAGAUCCAUUGAAUUAACGUAAGCCCUUACUUUAUUUAUAGAUAAAGUAGUUCUCCGCUAUAUUGGAUAAGAUAACAGGGACUAAGACAAGUCAUCAUGGCCUGAAUGCUGU